AGUAAAAAUUUACCAAGCUCCAACAACUUAAGCAGUGCGAGCGUUGAACUCGAUCAGAACGGGCGAUUCGUUUACUGGAAGCCCCCGAGCCAAAAACAACAGAAAAAACCGACCAACUGUCGCGGCCCUAAUUCCUCGUAAUUCCCGAAGGUAGUUAGAAGCAAAGCGCCAGCUGCCCGGCGAAGAGGGUCGUCGAGUUCGAGCAGAAGUUGUUGGCGGUGGCGGCUGGUGGCGAUGUCAAUUGAGAUUAAACUUUCCCGAUCAAAUCGCAUCUACCGGCCCAAUGAAUCUCUGGAAGGCAAAAUCAUAGCAAACCUGUCAUCUUCCAUCUCCCACCAAGGAAUUCGCCUCACUAUCAAUGGCUCUGUCAACUUGCAGGUUCGUGGAGGAACAGCUGGGGUGAUUGAGUCCUUCUACGGUGUCGUCAAGCCUAUCCCCAUUGUGAAUAGGACUGUUACAGUCCAGCCUUCUGGAAGGAUUGCUUCAGGUGUCACAGAGAUACCAUUUUCUGUGAUCCUGAAAGAAAGAGGAAAAGACGAUAUGGAGAAAUUUUAUGAAACUUUUCAUGGAACCGAUAUUAGUAUUCAGUAUCUGGUAACUGCAGAAGUUGCAAGAGGGUACCUUCAUAAAUCUUUGUCCACUGCAGUGGAAUUCAUAAUUGAAAGUGAAAAAGACAGUCUUCCACAGGAGCCUAUAUCUCCUGAAAUGGUGUUCUUUUACAUCACUCAGGACACUCAAAAACACCCUUUACUUCCUGAGCUGAAAUCAGGUGGUUUCAGGAUAAGUGGCAAAGUAUGUUCUCAGUGUUCGGUCUUAGAUCCACUUAUUGGUGAGUUAACAGUUGAAGCAUCUGGAAUCCCUAUUCAAUCAAUUGACAUCCACUUAUUUCGCGUGGAGUCAAUUUUGAUUGGCGACAAAAUAGCAACUGAAACCACUUCUAUUCAGACAACACAGAUAGCAGAUGGAGAUGUCUGUCGUGGCUUGACCUUACCCAUAUAUGUCAUUCUUCCACGCCUUUUGACUUGUCCAACAAUUUUCGCAGGUCCAUUCUCAAUAGAGUUCAAAACUACCAUCGUCAUUACUUUUAAAUCAGAGCAAACCAAGAAACAUCCAAAAUAUGAUCCAAAAACUCCCAGAUCAUAUGUAAGCAUAAUUUGUCUAAUUUUGUACUUGGACCUUCCUGCUGUACGUAUCUAAACAAAAUUGUCAUUGGGAUUUAGAUGGCUAUGGAAAGUGUGCCUCUGGAACUGGUGCGCAAAAAGUAAGAUGAUUGGAGCCAUUUACACCUUAUGAGCAACGCUUGGCAGUAUGUCAAUAUGUUCUUGCAACAACUUGGAAGAGAAGAAUAUCUCCAACUCGAGCUGUCAAUUGGUUCAAAAAGUUUGUUCAUGUAACUACUUUUUGACCUAGUUGAAAUGACCCAUAUUCAUUGAUUAGGAUCUCUGAGAUGCCAGAUCUACGACCAUGUAGCAAAAGCACAGUACAAUGGCCGGAAAGUCUUCAAAUAUGAUGCUUUAUCUCUUUCAGUUCCUGUUCAACUGUUUCUGGAAGAUUUGUAAAUAUGUAUUAUAGGAUCAGCUUCUUGUAUUGCUGUUAGCUAUCGGGGUACAGUUUAUAACGAGUUUUUAGUUGGAAUUCCAAAUUUAACUUAUGUACUAGAGUCUUGGAUAUUAAUAAACUUAAAACCUUUUUAUCUUUCA